ACUAUUUUGGCAGAUUAAUGCAAUAAAUUUAGAAUUUAUUUAUAAAUAAUUUAUUAUUUAAUUAGUA
rnacentral:tRNA from 1 species